GAAAAAGAAAAAAGAAAAAGAAAGAAAAAAAGAGAGAGAGAGAGAGAAGGAAAAAAAAGUAAUGUGACAAACAUAAUCGAUCGAUCUAUUUAUUCUAUUUGAAAAUUCGCAUUAAAAUUAUUUAUGAGAAGAGGACAAGAAGAGAACGUCACGAUUGGCAUCACCGUUUUAUGCAUUUUUGCAUAAAAUCGAGAGGGGAAAAAAAAAGAAAACAAGAAACUAAGAAAGAAGGUGAAGUCACGAUAUCUGCGAUAAAGACGAGGAAGGAAAAAAAGAAGGAAAUAUGACAAAAAGAAACUGAUAGAGAACACGGAAGAAGACGAGGCCAAGGAGGAGGAGGAGGAGGAGGAGGGAGGAGGAGGAGGAACAGGAGGACAAGGGCGAUUGGGGGAGAGGGAGAAGGAGGAGGAGGAGGAGGAGGAGGAUGGUAAGAGAUGACAGUGUUAGAAAGACGCGUUCCUUUUAUGAUGAAAUUUGUAAUUAAAUGUUGAUCGAUAAAGGAUAAAUCCAUGAACAUAAGUCUAAAUGAUUGAUCGAAUAAAAUUUCAAUUAGAGACUAGUACUAUUUAAUAUCGUUUAAUCGCUUCAAGGAUUCCACAAUAAAAUAAGUUUUAGUCUAUAGAGUUUCCUUUGAUCAAAACUAAAGUAUUCUCUUUUCGAUCAUAAUUUCUACGUCGAUAGUUACGUUCGUUUUUACGAAAGAAUGAAAAUUCUUUUUCUUGUCUCUUCUGUUUUUUCUUUUUUCUUUCUUUCUUUUUUUUUUUUUCUUUUUAUUUGUUUCAUUCUUUCCUCCUCACGAAGAUUUAACGACGUGAAAUAGAUCGAAGUCAAAAAAAAAAAAGAAGAACAAAUAA